rnacentral:lncRNA from 1 species
CUUCAUAAAGUUUUGUACUAUUUUCAUAACCUUCAAAUUCACAUGUACACAAAGUUAUUCAAGGAUUCAUACAAAGUGCCAGCUAGUUAAACAUAAAGUUCUAUUAACAUCAAUAUGGCAAGAAAAAGCAUUCUCUUUUACAUAUAACAAUAAAGUUCUUCAGCAAUUUAUACAAAGAGACCGCUUUGUAGAAACAGAGUUCUUUGUAAAAAAGAUAAAGUCCUUCAUCAAUUUUCAGCAAAGGACGAUACGGACAUCCAAAAAGUUCUUGUACAAAUCUGCCCAAAAAAAUUCAAUCUAUGCUGAGAACUUGGAAAUAAAGCAUGUCUAUACAAAGGGAUUUCACGUGUCAGUGCAAACAAAAUAAACUGCAGCUUAUUUUAUCAGAGAGCUGAAAGGUAGCCUUAACGCAGACAAAACUUUGUCCAUCUUGUAUUCAAAUCCCAACAAACAAUCAGAGGGCCUAAAUUGUGCUAGCCUUUUUGUGGACACAAAUCGAUCAAGGUAGCCCAUGCAAGUUCAUCACAGAGAACAGAAGACCAAGAUUAAACAUGGUGGAUCCAUGUGCUACUAGAUCCAUCACGCAACAAUCAAUAUUACACUGCUGCAAAUAAAUCCUAAUCACCUUGAACUACAAAUCCAUUGGCAAGCAAGAAGAGGCAAUCCCAGCUCGUGAGCUUGAGGAGGAGGCACAAGACAGCCUGUUCGUCGCCGGAUCUGGUGCCAGGAGACGUCGGGAGGCUUGGUGAGUGCGGACUUCCCAGAUCCGCAACGAGCUGGGUGACGGCGAGCGAGCCGGGACACCGCGAGGCACGCCGUGGUAUGGAGGAGCUAAUCUGGUCGGAGGCCUCCAGAUCGGGAGGGCCGCCGGCUGUGGGGGAGGGGACGGGAGGAGGACCGGCUGGAUUCUCAGAGAUAAUGAGAGAGAGAGAGAGAAUGGAGGCGUCGGGCAGUAGCCUAGGUACAUAUUUGAUUUGUAUACCGGCCAGUGAAGGAGGAAUAUAUUUUCCAGACCUGGGUCCAGUGGGCCAGCCGGCUCGGAUCCGCACGUAGCUUGUGCGGUCGCGAUUGGCAUUGCGCGCGCAAAGGGUUAGGGCAUCUCCAGUCGCGCCCCCAGAACGGCCUCCCUAGGCGUUGUUUUUUGCGCCGGCGCCGAAAAAUCGGCCCAGUCGCGCCCCCAGGAGUCCGAUUUUCGCCGGCUUGGGCCGAAAACAGCGCCGGCGACCCAGGCCGAACCCAGCGCGCUGGGGGGCGCCCGAGGGCGCAGGGGCGAACUGUUUUGGCGCGAAACAGCCGCGGGCCCGCCGCGUCAGCGACUCUACCCUCUUCUCUCCCCUUCGUCGUCCUCAUCGCCUCGUUUCCCGCAGCGAAUCAAUGCCAAAGCUGCCGCGCUGCCGCGCCGGUCAGCCUGUGCCAUUGAUGCCUCACGGGCGGCGCAGUGAAGAGCGGAUGACGCGCGUCCCUCGCCCUCCCUCGCCCGCGACGCGUACUCACGGCAGCUCGCGCACGGGCGGCGCCUCGGCCUAUAUAAGACGCGCCCCAGCGCACUCGGCGACUCGCACUCUCUCGCCGUCGUCGUUCCUCCCUCUCCUCUAUCUCGUCGUCGCCAGUUCAUCACACCCAUGGCCGAGCGCUUCCCAGGCGACGGCGCGGCGGCGAACGGCUUCGGCCGCCGCCAUCUUCACGAGAACGAGGCUCGCCUCCUUUUCGAGCGAGUACCUGGUCCCGCCGAACAUGCGGGUGCCCGGGGCGUGGAGGAUCAGCGUCGGCGGCAUGCCGGUGCCCCCGAUACCCACCCCGGCGCGGCGCGGCAUGCGGAGAUCGCACGCAUACGCUCUUCCCUGCCGCGUGCGACGAGGGAGGGGCCACGGUACAUCCCCGACAGCACGCUCUGGGAGCCUUAUUUCCGCCGCCGUCACGCCGAGCAGCUCGAGGCCACCAACGGCGUCGAACCCUCCGGCAGGCUCAACGCCGUCGGCCGGCGUCGGUGGUGGGGCGUGCCCGGGCGCACGUUGGAGGUUGUCCUCGAGUACAUCGAGGGCGGCAACACGCCGCGCCUCGAGUACCCCGCUCCCCCGUCAUUCACACGCCGUCGGGGAAGCUCCUGGACCCCGAGACGCAUGGAGACCGGGGGGUCCUCCUCCUCGUCCGGCGGCUCCCCCUGCCUCCACCUCCGCCCUGUCAAGCUGGAGCCCCAGGGCGCGCCUGUCAGCGCGCGCACCCACAGCUCUGGCGUCCGCAUCGGCGACAACGCCUCCCCCACCGGCCGCUUCGUCCUCGUCGAGCCCAAGCCGGAGCCCGGCCUCCCUGCGGAGUACGAGGAGGUAGCCCGGCGUGGCUUCUCCGACGAGGAUGCCCUACGAUGGGCGCGGGACGACUACCUCCGCGACGAGAUGGCCCGGCAGCGCCGGGCCCUGGAGGAGAUCGCCGCCCGCAAGCGUGGGCGCGAGGAUGAGCACAGCGUCGUGGUCCUCGACAGCGACAAUGACGAUGUCGCCCCCGGACCGUCCAACACGCCGCGCCAACCGGGGGAGGGAUGCAGCAGGGACGGCGGAGGCAUCGGUGGGGGCGACGACGACGACGGCGGCGGCGCCGGUGACUUCACGCGGUUCUACCGCCUCCUCGGCAUGUAGAACCGCGUGGGCGGCGGCGAGGCGGGCGGCGAGGCGGGCGGCGAGGCGGGCGGCGAGGGAGACGGCGGGGGUAGCCCGCGGUAGUUUUUCCUUUUUUUGUAAAAUAUGUUUAAAUUUGAACGAACUCGAACGUGUUUGCGUUGUGUUUGCGCCGAAUUUAAACAUUUUAAAAACCCGUGGGGGGCCGCGACUGGGGGGCAUCACGUCCCCAGUGUGCGGUUUAGCGCCGGUGCGCCCCCAGGGGGCGAUUUUUUGCCCCUCCUGGGGGGCCAACGACUGGAGAUGCCCUUAGGGCAUCUCCAGCCGCGCCCCCAGGAAGGCCUCCCCAGGCGAUUUUUUCGCGCCGACGCCAAAAAACGGCCCAGUCGCGCCCCCAGGAUCCCGAUUUUCGCCGACCUGGGCCAAAAACAGCGCCGGCGGACCCAGGCCGAACCCGGCGCGCUGGGGGCCGCCCGGGGGCGCCGGGGCGAACUAUUUUGGCGCGAAACAGCCGCGGGCCUGCCGCGUCAGCGACACGGCGCCUCGUCUUCCCCCAACGGCCUCGAUUCCCGCAGGGAAUCAAUGCCAAGGAUGCCGCCCGUCAGCCUUGCCAUUGAUUCCUCACGAGCGGCGCGUCACGGGACGGCGCGCCGACGCCUCCCCUCCCUUGCACGCGUACACACGGGUGCGGCGCGGCUAUAUAGCCGGUGGCCUGCACUCGCUUGUGCCCACACCAGCCCCGCCCCUCGCCGCCGCCCAGCUCCUCCCUCUCCCUACCUCUCCCGAGCGCCGCCGCCCAGCCCCUCCCUCUAUCUCUCUACCUCUCCCAAGCCCGUCGCCAUGGCGGAACGCUACCCCGGAGACGAGGCGGCGGCCAACGGCUUCGGCCGCCGUUCGCUCCGCGAACAGGAGUCCUGGCUCCUGUUCCAGGCGAACAUCCCGGCGGCGCCGGACAUGCGCGCCGGGCCGACGGGGUGGAGGCUCAGCGCCGGGGGAGUGCCCAUUCCCCCAUUGCCCGACGCUGUGGCGAAGCCGACGUACUUCGCCGAGGAAGUCGAGGUCGUGCGCGCCUCCCUCACCGACGCCCAACUCUUCCUUCCCCAGUACGGCGCCGACAACCACGCGGCUUGGACGGCGUAUUUCGAGCGCCGCCAGCAGCAGCGCUUGGCAUCCAUCAACGGCGCGCCGGUGGUUGGCGGACGGCAGAACAGCGAGGGGCGCCACCUGUGGUGGGGCGUCCCCGACCGCACACUCGAGGGCGUGCUGACGUACCUCGAGGGAGGCAACGACCAGCCGUUGGCGUACCCGGCGAGGGCGGCCGCCCCGGCGCAGCACCGACGCGCCGGGCCAUGGGCGCCAAGGAGGUUCGGGUCCUCCUCCUCUUCUUCCUCCUCCCGAUCUUCAUCGCACUCCUCCGGCACUCCGGCCCUGCUCGGCGUCAAGGCCGAGCCCGCGGCGGAGACGCCGCUCGGCCGGCGCACUCGCAGCGCCGGCAUCGUCAUCAACGAGGGCGGCCGGCGCGCCUACUCGUCGGCUCCUCCUCCGCGCUUCGUCAAGCCAAAGACGGAGCCGGGGCUCGCGCCGGUGAAGAAGGAGCCGGCCGCGCCGGUGACGACGGAGCUCGACAACGACGACGCGGCCCUGGAAUGGGCGCGCAGGGACUCCAUAGCGAUGGAGAAGGAGCGCCUGGAGAAGGCAAAGGAGCGCCAGCGCGCCGCCCUGCUUCGCUUCGCGGAGCGUCGACGCGGCCGCGACGAAGGCGGAGUCGUCGUCAUCUGCGACAGCGGCGAUGACGACGACGAUGCGCCGCCACCCGUCCGCCAUGGCGACGCCGGGCAGGGGUCCAGCAGGGGCGCCCGCGUCAAGGAGGAGAAGGCCGACGACGACGAUGGCGGCGACGGCGGCGACUUCGGCCAGUUUUUCCUUUAGAUUAGUUUAUGUAUAUGUGCUAUGUAAUAAAAAUCCGCGAACUUCGCCGAAAUGUGCCGAAAUUUAUCGUGUUUGGCCAAAAUUUAUCGUGUUUGGCCGAAUUUUAUCGUGUUUAAGCCGAACUUCGCCGAACUUCUUUUAUUUUAAAACGUGCCUGGGGGCGGCCCUGGGGCCGGCGGCUGGGGACCAACUCGCCCCCAGGCCUAAUUUUUACGCUGGCUCACCCCCAGGCGGCGAUUUUAGGCGCCCCCUGGGGGGCGAACGGCUGGAGAUGCCCUUAUGAAUCACCUUAUUCGACUACAAACUGUAUACACAGAUAUGUGUUUUCAGCUUAAAAUGCCAUGCAGUCUAUUCAUCUUGUUUGCAAACCACAUACACCACUACUCUGCACUCUCUACUUUCUCUACCAAUAUGAACAAUCUAAGCAGUUAACUAAACCAACAAAAAACAUCCUAGACCAGUUUUGUAAAACUUCACACUAAUCUUAGAACUUCUUCCUGUUCAGCUUUUCUUCGUGAUGGCCGUUUCGCCGUGCAAGUGUGCGAAGAUGCCAACCAUGAGCGCGGUGUUGUACGUGCACGCCUCCGUUUGCAUGUAGUUGUCGCGCCUGUCCCUGAACCGGUCGAGGUGGUCCGGCCCGCCGACGAUGGCGCCGAUGACCACGUUUGGGUUCGCCCCCCUCCGGAGGAACCAGUUGUCGUACCCCUGCAUGCACCCGAUGAACCUGCCGUCGCCGCGGUGGGACACGAUGGACGCGCCACGGUGGUGCAUCCGCCGCGGGAACCGCUGGCCGUACCCGACCAAGUAGCUCACGCCGGCAGGGUUCGCGCCGAGGACGUAGUCGGUCUGCGCUCGUGCCAGGGACCGCAGCUCGUCGGCGUGUGCCGGCCCGUCGGGGCACUGCAGCACCGGCGGCUCCUGGCCCGCGGAGGUGAGGUAGCGGGAGUAGACCGUGAGGAGGAAGGCGGCGUUGGUGACGUACUGCAUGUUGUUCCACUGCCGGACGAAGAGCAUGCCGCCGGCGGUGCGGUUGACGUUGCCGGCGUCGCCGUUCUUGUUGAGGCAGGCGCAGAGGUAGUGCUCCGCCUUGGCCUUGUACUUCUCCAGCGUCGCCUUGUAUUCCGGGUGCUUCCCUUCCAGCAGCACCUAAAAUGACACGACAUGUUAAAAAACACAUUAUUUGUCCAGGGAUUUGGUUUUUUGAAGAAAUAUAUUUGAGGAAAACAUUUUCGAUCAUGCAUGCCAUACCACGGGCCCGAAGAAACAAUGGUGCAAUAUAAAAUUAGAGAAUAAAUAGUUAAUUUGUUGAGCAGUCAUGUACAGCUGAUGCUCACCUUGGUGGCGAGGAUCUGGAGGCCGGCGUACUUGACGUCCCAGCUGAACUCCGUGAUGGCCCAGGUGGUGCCGCCGAACUCGUCGGCCAUGUCCACGGCGUAGUCCAGGUAGCUCGCCUUCCCCGUCGCCCGGUGCAGCCACAGCGCCGCCCAAAGGAUCUCGUCGCCGUACCCGCUCACCGACGCGUAGUAGCUAUACGCCUCGCCGAUGCUACUGUCGUACUUUCCCCUGUAUUUGUCCCCGAACUCGAACAGCUGCAUAUGCAUUACACGUUAGUAAACAUGUUUCAUGCAUGUACAACAGAGCGACAACAAUGGCGUUGCAUAUGUCUACGCACCUGCUCGGCGUGGUGGAGGAGAACUUGUGCGUAGUGGGGGUUGGAGCGGCGGAACACCAUGGAGGCGGCGGCCAGCGCGGCGGCGGUCUCGCCGACGAGGUCUGAGCCAGGGUUGUCGCGGUCGACCUUGUAGGCCUGCCGCGACGUGGUCAUGUCCUCGGGCCGCUGCCAGCAGUAGUGGUCGGUGUCGCCGUCGCCAACCUCGGCCCAGAGCACGUACGGCUCGGUGUGCGCCUUGACGAAGUAGUCGGUGCCCCACUUAAUGGCCUCCAGCACGUGCCGCCACUCGCCGGCGGCAGUGAUGUCGUCCGCGAACUCCAUGGCGCUCCACGACAGCAUGGUGACCGUGAACGCCAUCGGCAGGCCGAACUUGACGUUGUCGCCGGCGUCAUAGUACCCGCCCACGAGGUCCACGCCCUGCUGUAGGCCGUCGGCGAGGCCAGAGUGGCCGCGCCACUUGACGCGCUGGUUGUGCGGCAGGCGGCCCGAUCGCUGUGCCUCGAAGUAGAGGAGGCUGCUGUGGAGCGCCUUCUUGUAGUCAAAUGGCGCCGCCACCUCGCCGCCGCCAGCCGUGGUGAACGGAAGGUGCACGAGUGCGAGNNNNNNNNNNGGGCGUUGUCCAAUCAACAUGCCCCACCAUGUUCUUAGCCAUGCAGUGUAUUCCCAGGACAUGUGAUAUACUGUUGUGUGUAUAUGAAGCCGUAUUGCAGCAAAUGUGGGGCCAUGGACGAUAGAUUCUCCUGACAACCAGACCCAUGGCCCAUGUCCUUCAGAUUCGUCACGAGGGAUGCGCUGCUCAUUAUCUAUGCAAGUCUAGAUACAAAUUCUGUAACAUUUGAAGAACUGACACGCAUAUGUUUAAUCUGGUCGGUAAUUCAUAAGUCACAAAAAAUGGUAGUAGUAACAUUCAUAAAAAUGCCACUUUCUAGCAGAGUCGACAAAGGGGCAAAAAAUCAGAAAAGUUCUACUGAACUUGUGAUAAAGUCCAUAAAUUGCCUUCAUAAAGUUUUGUACUAUUUUCAUAACCUUCAAAUUCACAUGUACACAAAGUUAUUCAAGGAUUCAUACAAACUACCAGCUAGUUAAACAUAAAGUUCUAUUAAUAUCAAUAUGGCAAGAAAAAGCAUUCUCUUUUACAUACAACAAUAAAGUUCUUCAGCAAUUUAUACAAAGAGACCGCUUUGUAGAAACAGAGUUCUUUGUAAAAAGAUAAAGUCCUUCAUCAAUUUUCAGCAAAGGACGAUCCGGACAUCCAAAAAGUUCUUGUACAAAUCUGCCCAAAAAAAUUCAAUCUAUGCUGAGAACUUGGAAAUAAAGCAUGUCUAUACAAAGGGAUUUCACCUGUCAGUGCAAACAAAAUAAACUGCAGCUUAUUUUAUCAGAGAGCUGAAAGGUAGCCUUAACACAGACAAAACUUUGUCCAGCUUGUAGUCAAAUCCCAACAAACAAUCAGAGGGCCUAAAUUGUGCUAGCCUUUUUGUGGACACAAAUCGAUCAAGGUAGCGCAUGCAAGUUCAUCACAGAGAACAGAAGACCAAGAUUAAACAUGGUGGAUCCAUGUGCUACUAGAUCCAUCACGCAACAAUCAAUAUUACACUGCUGCAAAUAAAUCCUAAUCACCUUAAACUACAGAUCCAUUGGCAAGCAAGAAGAGGCAAUCCCAGCUCGCGAGCUUGAGGAGGAGGCACAAGACAGCCUGUUCGUCGCCGGAUCUGGUGCCAGGAGACGUCGGGAGGCUUGGUGAGUGCGGACUUCCCAGAUCCGCAGCGAGCUGGGUGACGGCGAGCGAGCCGGGACACCGCGAGGCACGCCGUGGUAUGGAGGAGCUAAUCUGGCCGGAGGCCUCCAGAUCGGGAGGGCCGCCGGCUGUGGGGGAGGGGACGGGAGGAGGACCGGCUGGAUUCUCAGAGAUAAUGAGAGAGAGAGAGAGAAUGGAGGCGUCGGGCAG